UCCAAGGGGAAUGAUAGUCAGAGAGCACUGAGUCCUUACGUCUGUAAAGUGCUGGAGCAUCUCCAGUACAACCUACAGAGUAAGGCCAAGGUGUACGAGGACCACGCUCUCGGGGCCAUAUUCCUCCUCAACAACUACAACUACAUCCUCAAGUCAAUGAAGAAGUCAUCUCUGUUUGAAGUGGUUAAAACCAGCGGCAGU